GUUUGCAUUUUUUAAAGUUCUGCCUGGAGAUUAUGAAAUCCUCGCAACUCAUCCAACCUGGGCGUUGAAAGAGGCAAGCACCACAGUGCGUGUAACCAACUCCAAGGCCAAUGCGGCCAGUCCCCUCAUAGUUGCUGGCUACAAUGUGUCUGGCUCUGUCUGAAGUGAUGGGGAGCCCAUGAAAGGGGUGAAGUUUCUUCUCUUUUCUUCUUUAGUAACUAAAGAGGAUGUCCUGGGCUGCAAUGUCUCACCAGUGCCUGGGUUCCAACCCCAAGACGAGAGUCUGGUGUAUUUGUGCUACACGGUCUCCAGAGAAGAUGGCUCGUUCUCUUUCUAUUCCUUGCCAAGUGGGGGCUACACUGUGAUUCCGUUCUAUCGAGGGGAGAGGAUUACCUUUGAUGUGGCGCCUUCCAGACUUGACUUCACAGUGGAGCAUGACAGCCUGAAAAUCGAGCCCGUGUUCCAUGUCAUGGGAUUCUCCGUCACCGGGAGGGUCUUGAACGGACCCAAAGGAGAUGGUGUUCCAGAAGCAGUAGUCACCCUGAAUAACCAAAUCAAAGUUAAAACAAAAGCUGAUGGCUCAUUCCGCCUUGAGAACAUAACCACAGGGACAUACACCAUCCAUGCUCAGAAAGAGCACCUCUACUUUGAAAUGGUCACCAUCAAAAUUGCACCGAACACGCCUCAGCUGGCUGACAUUAUUGCAACAGGGUUCAGUGUCUGUGGUCAGAUAUCAAUCAUUCGCUUCCCCGACACCAUCAAGCAGAUGAAUAAAUACAAAGUUGUCCUGUCAUCUCAAGACAAGGACAAGUCUUUGGUCACCGUGGAGACAGAUGCUCAUGGAUCAUUUUGUUUUAAAGCAAAACCAGGGACUUACAAAGUGCAGGUGAUGGUUCCUGAGGCAGAAACCAGAGCACGGCUGACGUUGAAACCCCAGACAUUUCCUCUUACUGUGACCGACAGGCCCGUGAUGGAUGUGGCCUUUGUACAGUUCUUGGCAUCAGUUUCUGGGAAAGUCUCCUGUUUGGACACCUGCGGUGAUUUGCUGGUGACUCUACAGUCCCUGAGCCGCCAGGGUGAGAAGCGGAGCCUCCAGCUCUCCGGCAAGGUCAACGCCAUGACUUUCACCUUUGACAACGUGCUCCCUGGAAAAUACAAAAUAAGCAUCAUGCAUGAGGAUUGGUGCUGGAAGAACAAGAGCCUGGAGGUGGAAGUGCUGGAGGAUGACGUGUCUGCAGUUGAGUUCAGGCAGACGGGCUACAUGCUGAGAUGUUCCCUGUCUCACGCCAUCACUCUGGAAUUUUAUCAGGAUGGAAAUGGGCGUGAGAAUGUGGGGAUUUAUAACCUCUCCAAAGGAGUCAACCGAUUCUGCCUGUCCAAGCCUGGUAAGUUUGGAAGGAUUGAUGUGCCAUGAAUUAGAAAAAUGGAAAGGCACCAGAGGUGUGUACAAAGUGACCCCUCGCUCCUGCCACCGGUUUGAGCAAGCGUUCUACACCUAUGACACGUCUUCACCUAGUAUCUUGACAUUGACAGCCAUUCGCCACCAUGUCCUUGGAACUAUCACCACCGACAAAAUGGUGGAUGUCACUGUGACUAUCAACUCUCCCCCAGUCAUUCAAAGACACUGUGACCAGCUGGCCAGGUGACAAGAAGUCCUAGGGCACAAGCCUGAAGCCUUCGGGAGAAAUUUCAGCUUUACAGGGGGCAGAAUGUUUGGUAACUAUUUAGAUUUAAAGCAGAAGCACUUUGGAUUGAGCAAUUUCAUAUGUGACAACUGUCUUUGCCACAAGCAACAGCAGAGACCUGCAGAUGAGAACACCUUUAUGAAGAGCAAGACCAUGCUUUGAAGUUGGACAGAGAUCUUGGUUCAAAUCCUGCCUCUGCCGCUUGUUAGCUAAGUCACUUCAGAAAGUCUGUACCUCCCCGAGGACAUCUCAUGCCCACAGCAGCCCAGCAGUGAGUCCUCACCAACCCAGACUGACUUUCCAGCCUCAUAUCCUCAAAGGAUCUGACAUUUUCCAGCCACCAACCUUGGUUUGCACCAUGCCCUUCAUCAAAAAUGUCUUUGCUUCUCUUUGAUGCCUGGGUAUCUAUUCCUUUAGAACCCAUUUCAAAUUUCUCCUCCUUAAAGAUGCCGUUGGUCACUGUUCCAAUCUGUAGGAUACUCUGUUUUGCCCAGAUCCCUUCUGCACUGCCUUCUGGGACUCAGAUACAGAGGGGGCAAAACAUCCCGGAAGGGGUGGGGCCCAUGGACUGCUCUUGGAGUGGGGACAGAGAUCACCACGAGAUGGCGCUAUUGAGCCAUCACUGUCAAUUGGUUUUUCUCUGUUUUCAUUUUCUUACUUGAUGAGAAAUGUGUGAUUUCCAAAUAGUCCCAGAAGGAAUAGAACUGUGACUGUGUCCCGCCACUAAAAAGGUGGUUUUGCAUAUCUCUGAUCGUCCUAUCGCAUCGCCCACUGUUAAAAAUUCCAUCCCCACACCCAGGGGAUUUAGAAGGAGAAUAUCACACACUUGCCACCACCCCCAAUCCAUGCAAAUACCUUGGUACUUGCUAUAGACACUUGGUACACAAAUACUGCCUCAGCCUUUUAUUAAAUUAUAUUUUAUAUAUUGCAUCAGAGUAUUAAGCCCUUAGGGGUAGGACCUGGGGUCCAUGCCAACUUACUAGAACGGUGUCGACUUCUCUAGGAUAUGGAAUCCACACAGCUCCUUGGAAAGCUGGAAAAUGCAGUUUUGAAGCAACCUGCUUCAUUUCCACACCAAUGGAAAGGAAAGUGAUAAAUCCUUUAUGGCCAAGAGUCAGUUCUGUUUAUUUCUUCCUGGAAAUGCUAUUGAUGGUGGCUGGGGAAGUUGUUUGUUUUUUAAUCUUUCCCUUGGCAAGGUCUCCUUACUCAUAGCCCUUCCUUAUGUUCCCCAAAUGGUGCAGGGGGCAGUGUUCAGAAGCCCAGUAUGCAGGUCUUGCACAGAGGAGAAUUAUGGCUUAAAGAAACUUGGCUAAGCGCGGUGGCUCACACCUGUAAUCCCAGCACUUUGGGUAGGCCAAGGCAGGCAGAUCGCUUGAGUCCAGGAGUUUGAGACCAGCCUGGGCAACCUGAUGAGACCCCAUCUCUACAAAAAAUUAGCCAGGGAUGGUGGUGCAUGCCUGUAGUCCCAGCUACUCGGGAGGCUGAAAUGGGAAAACUGCCUGAGUCCAAAAGGUGGAUACUAAAGUGAGCCAAGAUUGUGCCACUGUACUCCAGUCUAGGUGAUAGGGUGAGACCCUGUCUCAAAAAAAACAAAACAAAAUAAAAACCAACAACAGAAAAAGAAACUUGGGUGGGAUCAUGUGUCCAGGCCUCAGCACUGUUGUCCGUUACUCUAACUCCUGCAGAGAGGUCCUUGAACAGAUGUAAGCGGACACACCUUGAAGUCAAGGUGCUCUUUGCAAAGCAACACAAUGUUAUUGACAUAUUCCAUUUGAAUAACCAAAUUUUGUAGUUGAUUGUGCGCUAAGGUGGAUACGCAUUACAUUAUGUUCUUAUGUAGGGAAGUAGAAGUUAGUGCCAAGAUUUAAAGAAAAAUCAGUGGGGAAAAUAACAGUUGAAUCUUAUUUGUUUAAAAACUUAGGACUUAUUUAUUCUUCUGUCCACCCAUUCAUAUAUACAUUUAACAAAAGUAUUUGAAAUUAGUUUCAUAUUGCUAUUUAUUUUAAAAAUAGGUAUUAUACACAUAUGGCUCAAAAUUGGAAAGAUACAAGAGUGUAUAGUAAAAGGUAGUUUCCACUCCCAUCCUUGUCCUAACCAGUUUGUUUCUUCACAGAAAUGGCAACCACUAUUGAUAGUUUUCUAUGUUCCCCUUGAGAAAUAUUCUAUAUUGUAAAUGCAUAUUCAUCUAUUCAUUUAUUCACCCAUCUAUCCAUUUAUUCAUCUACCCAUCCAUUUAUUGUCUAGCCACCUAUCCAUAGAUGGAUCCAUUUAUGCAUCCAUCAAUUUAUUCAUCUAUUUACCCAUCCAUCCAUUCAUCCAUUUAUCCAUCCAUCUAUUUACUUUCCAUUAAUCUAUCCAUUCUUUCAUCCACUUAUCCAUCCAUCUAUCCAUCCACUUUGCAUUCAUCUGUCCAUUCAUUCAUCCAUCCAUUUAUCCAUUCAUUCAUCUAUUUAUCCAUCUAUUCAUUUACUUAACCAUUUAUCCAUCCAUCUAUCCAUCCACACACACAUCCAUUUAUCCAUCUAAUCCAUUCAUUAAUCCAUUUACCCAUCUAUGUCAUUUUUUUCCAGGAAGAGGAAAAGGGCAGCCAUUAUUUGGUUUUAGAUGGUAGACCAAAUUUGUGCUACUGUUCCACAGGAAAAGAGAUUUGGAACCACUCCUUGGUGUUAAGCCAGCCACUCCAAAGCUGUAGUGUUGCAAUGUCAUACAUCUGUCAGGGAAGCCUGAACAUUUUAAAAACAAUUGGGUAUGGCUAUUCAGAUUUUAUUUUGGCCCAGCAUAAUGAGUUUGUGUUUGAUUCUGAAGGAGAGGGAGAUUUGUAAUAAAUCAGCAAGUGAAAUUAAAAGUGAGCCAGUGAGGUGCCAUAAAAGGGUGGUUGGAAUCAGACAUUCUCAAAUCCAUAUCCUAUCCCCACCCAUGUUAAAAGCUAUAUAGGAGGUUAUUUAGCUUCUUGGGAGUCUCAAUUUUCCUCUUAUGUUCUGAGAUGGGGAUAAUUGUAUUUUUCUUUGCAGGUUAAAGGCUAACACAAUGCUUGGAUAUAGUCAGUGCUCAUGUGGUAACUGCCCUUAACAUUAUUAAGCCCACAUAAUUCUCUUCUUUUUUGUAAGCAGUUGAGAUCUUUAGGUUGAAGAUUCAAUAUACAAUGUAACAGAGUCAGAGGGUGGGUGGCAAAAGGUACAUACAUACUGCAGGGCAGGGACUUGGAGUAUGGAAUGGAGAAAUAGCAGAGGACAUCUUCCAGCUGCAGUUGGGAUGGGUGCUGAGCUACAAAGCUACUAGAGAAAUAGGAAACUCAGGUCUCAUCAUUGCAGGGACCCUUGUUUCCUGCAAAGAAUCCUUGGAGAAAUCUCUCCCACUGUCUCUGGGCAUUGUAUUCAGAAAUGUCUGGCCUGGAUGAUAGUCUUCCUGCUUUUGGCCUCACCCUCUAUCCACUGUCCUCUGCUGAAUCUUUCUAAAAUGCUUGCUUAAAACUCCUUAUCGCCUUCAGGAGAAAGUUAAAUCCUUUACCACACAAGGCCAUUACCUGGGGGCCCUUUCUAACUCCUCCCACCUCAAUUUUGUCCUCUUUCUGCAGGUAUCUAAGUGUCAUGAUUUAGAUGUCCUGGCAUGCACUGUGCUCUUUUUCUGGAAGCCUCUUUUCUUUCUUCAUCCAACUACCUCCUCUUCUUCCUUCAAGACUCAGCUGAGACUCUCUUGAGCAAAUUUUCCAAGACUCCUUAAGGGGAAGGACCUGGUCCAAGUUGACUUGGUGUCUCCGUCAUCAAGCACAAUGCCUGGUUCACAAUGGACUCUUCAUGCAUCUCUUUCUAUAACAUGAGAAGGAUCAGAGGGUGAGGAUUGGAGCUGGGUGUCUUAAAAAUCUGUGAGAGUCGAAGCUAAGCCAGUGAUGUUUGCUUUGUAGCUAUUCUUGUGAUAUUACAAUCCUUCAGAGUGGUGAGGUUGGUGGGAGUGGUAAAAACAAACAAACAAACAAACAAAACCUAGUUUCUUUGUCUUGGAUUUUCCUGUCUCAGUUUAUAGAGAGAGACUAUCCAUCAUAUUUUAUUUUAGCUUAACCAAAGUUUUACUUUUUGUUGUUUCUUUUUUUCUUUGCUGGGAUCUUAAAAGAGAUUGAAUAAAAAUUCAGUUGUAGGAAUGGCUUUACCUUCCUCUCUGGUCUUGGUGUUUUGUUUUUAGACUAUGAUAUCACAUGUCAAGACUAUGAUAUCAUAUCAGGACUAGGAUAUCAAGUUUAUAAUAGAACAAUAAUUAUGUAUUAUUUAAACUUAUUUUCAUCAAACUAUAACUAAUACACAAUGGAUUUUUUAAUGGUAUAUACAGAUAUUUAAAAUUUGAAAUAAUUUUAGAUUUAUAGAAAAGUUACAACGAUACUAUAGCAAGUUCCAAGAAAUCCCUUCUCAGUUUCAGUUUUUCUUAAAUUUUGUUGUUGUUGUUGAGACGGAAUCUCGUUCGGUCUCCAGGCUGGAGUGUGGUGGCACGAUCUCGGCUCACUGCAACCUCCACCUCCUUGGUUCUAGCAAUUCUCCUGCCUCAGCCCCCUAAGUAGCUGGCACUACAGGCACGUGUCACCUCACAGCUAAUUUUUUUAUUUUUAGUAGAGACGAGGUUUCACCAUGUUGGUGGUCAAGACCACCAGGCUGGUCUUGAACUUCUGACCUCGUGAUCUGCCCACCUCGGCCUCCCAAAGUGCUGGGAUUACAGGUGUCAGCCAUUGUGCCCGGCUUCUUUAAUGUUAAAAAAAAAUGUUAAUGUCUUUGUCACAACUUUGGAAACUAUUAAGUGCAUUCCAAAUUUUAUUUGAAUUUCACCAGUUUUUCUACUAAUGUCUUUUUCCUGUCCAGGAUUCAAUCCAGAGUUUCAUGUUGCAUUUAUUCUCACGUCUCUGUAGUCUCUUCUGGUAUGGAACAAUUUCUCCAUCUUUCCUUAUUUUUCAUGAUCUUGAUAGUUUUGAGGGGUACUGGUUAGGGAUUUUGUAGAAGUGGACUUGGUGAUUAGAACCUAGGUCUGGCCGCCUACCCAUCACAGUAUCAGUAAAAGCCUCCCUUGAAAUUUACCAAUGGCAUGAACAUUUCAGAUGAGUCUGCCAUCUUUGGUCCUAGAGACCUGUCUUGGAGACAGAGACCUCACAGACUCAGAGAUUCAGGUGCUUUUUCUGGUAAUGAUUUUUGUCUGUGGGCUGAUUACAAAGGUGGAUGAGACUUUGGCCAAAGCUAAGGCUGCAGGGUCUGGGCUAAAAAAUUCCAGAAAAACUACCUUGCCAUGGGAGGCUGAGUUCCAAAUCACAGCCUGUGUGCAGCCUGCUUUACCAAAUAAUGAGGCACUGGGUGCUUUUUAAGGCAGCUGACCUUUGGAGCAAAUUAUCCAAGGAAAUCUGAUUAGCUAGUUCACUGGGUUCCUGCAAAAUGGAGCUUGGUGUAUUUCUGCAGCAGAAAUGUCAGCAUAAUUGGAGUUCCUGGAGCUCAAAGAGCUUCUUUCUUAUUGUUUCCAUCCUUUGGAGGGGAAAAAAAAAAACCCAAACAAACAAAACCCAAACCCCCAAAGAAUUGUCCUUUGACUUAUAUUCUUUGCUUUUGCACAUGGUUCAGAAGCUGCUCCUGACUGUGUUUACGACUUUAUUAAUCAGGGGAACAGCCCGAACAUCAUUUAAACAAACAAGGCCAAAAAAAAAAAAAAAAAAAAAAAAAUCCAUCCCCAAACAGAUGAUGUGAGCUUAAUAGAGAUGGCCAAGCCAAAGACCUUAAAUAAAUAAACUGACUUUAAUUUGUAGGAAGGAGCAUGGGGUCGUCAUUACUUGAGGCUGUGUGCCAUGCGAUGUAACCAAAUUUGAAACUCGCUAAUUUCAUUAUUUUAAUGGAAGUCUGCCUCCCAUUCAUUAGGCUGACAUAUGACUAGCCAUUAGUAACAGUCCACUUCCAAAGCUAUGGUGGAUAAAGGGUGAUUGGAAAUGAGCGAGGGCCAGGCCUGGUGGAGGCUGGCAAUUUCAGAAGGGAACUGGUGGGUGGGAUUUAUGCAAGAGGCAGGGAACACAACUAGGAAAAUUGUCAAUGUGGAUGGAGGCAGCAAACCAUUGAGUCCAAAUACAGGCUUGAGAGACCCGGGUUUGAAUUCUGGUUCUGCCACAUACUGGCUGUGUGACCUUGGGCAAGUUAUACCCCCGCACUGAGCUUCAGUUUGCUCAUCUGUGAGAUGGGAGUAAUCAUAGUUCCUAUCUCAUAGGGUUGCUUGCGAUGACUCAAUGAGGCAAAUUCUUAGGAGGCUCUAGUAUAGGGCUUGGCAAAAGUAACCACUUAAUAAAUGGUAGCUAUGAUGAUGAUAACGUUGGCCAAAGUCCCCAGUAUUUAGGGACUUGGAGAUUUUGCUAAUGAAGAAACGAAGGCUGACAGAAAUAAAGUAAGGUAUCCAAGUUUGCCCCAAACUUGGACUCAAAUUUCUGACUCUUAAUCCUAUACUCUUAAAAUCCUAUACUCUUAAAAAAAAUCCUAUACUCUUAGUCCUAUGCUCUUAAAACCCGUAUUUUAAAAAUUGUUUCAUUUCUUGAACAGGCCAGUCAUUCAUAUGAUUGAAAAAUUUAAAAACAAGAGUAUGCUAGAAUAGUCAGUGAAAAUUGUCCCUUCUGCCCGGAACAUUUCCUGUUCACAGACAGCCAUUGUUACGUGUUUCUUCUUUAUCUUUGCAGAAUUUCAGGUACGUACAAGCAAAUACAAAUGUAUAUGCACUUCUUUUUUUUUUUAUUACACAGACAGUUCUGUAUCCUGCCUUUUAAAACUUAUAUCCUUCUUAUCUUUCUGUAUCAGGGUAUAGUGAGUUCUUUCAUUCUUACUUAUAAUUAUAUGUUUUUCUAUUAUAAUGGAUAUAUUAUGUCUUAUUUAAUUAUUUCUCUCUUGAUGAACAGUUGGGAAAGUUCUCAUCUUUUGCUAUUACAAACCACAAUGCGAUGAAUAACAUUGCAUGUAUGUCAUUGUGUACAGGUGUGCGUAUAUUCUAGGAUAAAUUUCCAAAAGUAGAAUUGCUGAGUUACAGGGUAAAUGCAUUUCUGAUUUUGAUAGUGCUCAAAGGUCCGGGGGCACAUAGAGAUGGUGCUUUAGCAGUGAGCUUAGGCUGACAGCGGUUAAGAGAGACAUGCCUCAGGUUGCCAGUUAAAAAAAAAAUCUGCAUAAUGUGUUGCUUAAAGAAUGUGGUAAGGUGAAAGCUUGGAAAUACUGGUGUCAUUGGAAAGACAGAAAUAAGACAGAGAUUGUGUUGGGAAGAGAACAUGGAAUUUCAAGUAAUUUCUGCCUGGGUUUGCAUCUUGACCCUGCCACUCCUGGCUAUAUGACCUUGGGCAGGUUGCUUCACAUCUCUGAGCUCAGUAUUCUCACCUGUAAAAUAAAGACCAUGAUAACUUCCAUUAUAGGCUGCUGGAGGAAGUAAAGAAGAAAAUAUAAACAGCAGUUAGCAUGAUGUCUGGCACAUGGUGUGCAUUCAGGAUAUAACUGGGGCCUUUGGGUGAGUAACUAAGUUCAUAAUGACUCAUAACUAGCUAACAUUAUUAUAUUAUAUAUACUAUACUGUAUUAGUGGGAAAUAGCUAACAUUUAUUGAGUGUUUACUAUGUGGCAUGCACUGUGCUUACUGCCUCCCAUGAAACAUUCCACUUACCACUCAUAACAACUCUGUGAAGUAUUCUUGCUCACCUCAGCUUACAGAUGGGGAAACUGAGGCAGGACACUCAAGUACUUUGUCUGGUGAAACACUGUGAACAAACGACAGAGCUUAUAUUUGAACUGAAGCCACUUGUCUUGGAGGGCUCCUCUGAUCCCACAUCCUGUUCUUUUUUUUUUUUUUUUUUUUUUUUGGAGAUGGAGUUUUGCUCUUGUUGCCCAGUCUGGAGUACAGUGAUGCGAUCUCGGCUCACUGCAACCUCCCUCUCCCAGGUUCAAGCAGUUCUCCUGCCUCAGCCUCCAGAGUGGCCGGGAUUACAGGCACCCACCACCACGCCUGGCUAAUUUUUUGUAUUUUUAGUAGAGAUGGGGUUUCACCAUGUUGGCCAGGUUGGUCUCAAAUUCCUGACCACAGGUCAUCCACCCACCUCAGCCUCCCAAAGUGCUGGGAUUACAGGCAUGAGCCACUGCGCCCAGCCCAUCCUGUUCUUUUGAUCUACGUAUUAUAGCAUAAGAGGCUGACUUAUUCUGAGACAAGGACAUCAUGGGUGGAGCCCCCUUCUCAUCUCAGUGUGACCUAGUUCAGCUUCCCCAUCUCUUAGGCAGAUACCAUUGGGUUCAGAAAGGUUCAAGGGCACUUUUUCUCCUCUUAGCUUAGUGCUUCCUCAAAUGAUCCAUGACUUAUGACCUUAUGACGAUGCUGUGUGGUGAGUGUGAAAUCAGAUGAAGAUUUUUAUCCCGACAUGAUGAACACAAGCGUUGCAUAACCUGACUCGGGUUACCCAGGAUCUAUCCUCUGCUUGUGGUCACCACUGCUAGGAUUUUGGAAGAACCCUUUAAAAACUAAGCUCUCUGAGGACAGGCAUUUUUGUUUGGUUCACUAUUGUGAUGCCAAUGAUUAGAAAAAUGCCUGGGCCCACAGGAGGGACUUAUGUUCAAUGCAGAGGUGGAUAAAUGAGAAGGAGACUGUUUGCCGCAGAAUACUGAGAGAUUUUAUUGUUCUUGUCAUAGGAACCAGGCAGUAUUCCAGACAAACAUGACAUCAGUAACAUCCAUAUGUCUGUGAUGGGGUAGGAGAGAAGACUACUUUUCAGGUGGGACAUUUUGAUUGGAGAGGGUCUCUGAUUCAGAGAGUGAGGUGAGCUAUUUUCUUCUUGGGAGUUCUUGGCAUUUGAUAAUCCUUGGUGUUUAUUUCAAAUUAUGGAAGAAUUUGAGAUUUACUUAGACAUCUUGGCAUGCAGCGCUAAACCUCAGACUUCCUGAAUUUAUUUACCAGCUAGGGGAAGCAUAUUCCCCACUUUAAUUUUAUUUACAAAGGGCUCUAGUCUGGUGUGAAGUCUGAAGGCAUAUUUGUUGUAGGAGUUACUCAAUUAGCCAGCGAGAAAAGAACAAAGGAAAAGUCAUUAUGCAGAUGUAUGCCCAUUCAAAGCUAUUCCGCCUCUAGAUGCUUUCUUCGUAGUGAAUGGAGGAACUCCAGUCUGCAAGUCUCUCGUCUCUGCUGUGUUUUCUGCUAAUUCUCUUCUAAUAUUAGGCCAUGAAUGAUUAAUAAUAUUGCAUUUUGACACUGUUAGAUUUUGUCAAUUUUUUUCAAUAUAAAAGCAGAUAAUUACAGAUUACUUUAACAUCCAGGAAGUGAAAUCAACCAUGAAUUACACUCAGACUCAUCCACAACCCCUUGAAUAUAUUUCUUUUUUUUUUUCAAUAGGAGAUUGAAGUUUCUUUCUUUAGUCAUUUACACAAGUCAUGUCUGACAAUUGAGAAAAUGCUGUUCACAUAAAACAUCAUAAAUUAAAAAUAUACAGUGUUUGUAUUUUAAUACAAUAGGGUCCCAGGAUUCAAACAAAGAAUUCUGAUCUCAGAGGUUGCAUUAUGUAGUUAUGUGUUCUGCUUUAAAGCACUAUACUGGAGGUGAACUUGAAACUGCCUUUGCAAAAAUUAUAACUGAGGAAAUUAUGACAAUGAAGGAGAUCAGACCUAACCAGCUACAGCUUGCAUCUAAUCUUAAAGCUAUCCUUAUUCAUUCCUGGGCAUAGGCCGAAAUAACCUUGGGAAGGAAUUUAGUUUACAGUUUGACUCUGAAACAAAAUUGAUAAUAGCCCUUUCCUGAAAAGACCCCCUUCUUGCCUGGUGACCAGUCUGCCUUUGUAGGACUAACAAAUUGGCUACAAGAUUGGAAAUUAUGGUUUAGGGGUCAUGCAGCCCCUGACUCCAAGAGUCUGAACCUCCCCAGAUUGCUCCUAGGGAUAGCAUCAUUAUUGUAAAACUGAAGAUCAGUGCUUGAGAUAUCUUGCAAACCCUGCACUCAGUGGAUCAGCUGACACCACCCAGACUGGUAACUUGGCUCCCAGUUCUGCCAUCCCACCCAGGAACAGAAGACCACAAGAAAACCUCACUUCCACCCCCUAUGAUACCAUCUCCAACCUGACCAAUCAGCACCACUUCCUGGGCCGCUACCCACCAAAGUAUCUCUAAAAACUCUGAUCCCCAAAUGCUCCAGGAAGGCUGAUUUGAAUAAUAAUAAAACUCAGGUCUCCCGCACACGUGGCUCCGUGUGAAUUACUGUUUUUCCACUGCAAUUCCCCCAUCUUGCUAAAUUGGCUCUGUCUAGGCAGGGGGCCAGGUGAACGCAUUGGAUGGUAUAUUUCUCAAGAGUCAAAUAUUAAUAGGUUUCACAUGUAAGACUUACGUAUGUGUGUGUGUGUGUUUACAUACACAUAUAUUUCAAUAGCUUUUGGGGUUCAAGUGGUUUUUGGUUACAUGGAUGAAUUAUAAAUUAUAUAGUGGUAAAGUCUAAGAUUUUAGUACCUGUCACCUGAGUAGUGUACACUGUACCCAAUAUGUAGUUUUUGUAUCCUUCAUUCCCUUUUCAUCCUCUCCUCUUCUGAGUCUCCAGUGUCCAUUAUAUCACUCUGUAUGCCUUUAUGUACCUAUGGCUUAGUUCCCACUUAUAAGUGAGCAUAUAUGGUAUUUGGUUUUCCAUUCCUGAGUUAUUUCACUUAGAAUAACGGCCUCCAGCUCCAUCCAAGUUGCUGCAAUGACAUUAUUAUAUUAUUAUUUUUUCAUGGCUGAGUAGUAUUCCAUGGUGUAUAUGUACACACAUUUUCUUUAUCCACUCAUUGGUCAAUGAGCACUUAGGUUGGUUUCAUAUCUCGACAAUUGUGAAUCCUAAAUUUUACAUGCAAGGUUUUGCAUCUGUAGAGGAAGACAGGAUUCUCAGUGCAUGUGCCAAUUUUUGGGUUUUCCACUUGAGAAUCUUCACCAGUUUCCUCUUCAGAAUCAAAUUCCUGACUAUCUGGUGCUUCAAAGUUAUCCAGAGGUUCAUCAUUCAGUCUCUGGGUUGCCUCUGUCAUAUACUGUACUCUGCCGCUUUUGCCAAUUGCUUACUCUCCUUUUCCAAGUGGUCAAUUUCAUUGUUCUUUCUUCAAUUUCUCUGUGAAGCUUCUCAUUUUCCUUAAGUGUUUCAUAGAGGGUGUUCCUUUGUUCUGCGACUUCUCUCCAAUAUUGAGGGGAUAAAUUUCAUUUAAUCCUAAGAUCAAAUGCUUCUUGGGUGACUCCUCCAAGGAUUUAAUUGUCACUCUAUUCUGGGACAAUGACAACUCUAGAGUGGGAAGUCCUGGCUGUCAACUGGUCAUUCCAAUGCUUCCUCUUGGAUAUGUUUUGGGCCAGUCACUUUUUUUUUUUUUUUUCCCAACAAGAGAUCUGGCUGUGGAAGGAUGAAUCAUCUUCAGAGUUCUUCUUGGGGAGAAACUGUUCUUUACAUUCUCUUUGAUUCUUCCUUGUUUCUACUUUAUCCUAGGAUUCAUUAUACAGCUGGUAAAGCACAAAAGAUGGGAGGAGAGGAUUAAUGAUCAUAGUGAAUUCAGGUGGCUGUGGCACAGCCAACCUACAUUGAUCCCCACUGUCGCUGGAGUGGCUGGGGCACACUGCUGAAAAGACUUACUCCUCUGGAACAUACUCCUUUGAGUCGUUUUUGUAUAUGUAAUUUUGCAUAUUUUUUUCUUUUUUUAUUAUUAUACUUUAAGUUUUAGGGUACACGUGCACAACAUGCAGGUUAGUUAUGUAUGUAUACAUGUGCCAUGUUGGUGUGCUGCACCCAUUAACUCGUCGUUUAGCAUUAGGUAUACUUUUAAUCGUAGUGCCAUACAAUUGUAUUGCAUUUUCCAUUUAUAGCAUAUUAUAAUUAUUUUGACUUUUAUUAUGAAAUUUUCAAACAGAAAAGUAGAUAGUAUAAUAAAAUAAAAAGUAUAUAUAUAACAAGUAUGUCGGCUGGGUGUGGUGGCUCAUGCCUUUAAUCCCAGCACUUUGGGAGGCUGAGGCAGGCAGAUCACUUGAGGUCAGGAGUUCGAGACCAGCCUGGCCAACAUGGUGAAACGCUAUCUCUACUAAAAAUAAAAAAAAUUAGCUGGGUUUGGUGGUGGGUGCCCGUAAUCCCAUCUACUCAAGAGGCUGAGGCAGGGGAAUCACUUGAACCUGGGAGGUGGAGGUUGCAGUGAGCCAAGAUCAUGCCACUGCACUCCAGCCUGGGCAACAGAGCAAGACUCCAUCUAAAAAAAAAUUAUAUAUAUAACAAGUAUGUAAACAAAAUACAUAAGUAAAAGGUAGAAUAAAAAAAGAUAGCAUAAUACACACCCAUGUAUUUAUCGCUUAGAAUUAACACUAAUAUUAUAUUUUCUUUGUGCAUUUUUUCUUAAGUGGUUCAAAAGGAAGUACAGACAUCAUGAUAUUAAACCCUAAAUCAGUGGCUCUCAACUGAGGGUAAUUUUGACCCAUGUCCUCCGCAAGAGGACUUUUGGCACUGUCUGGAGACAAUGUUGGUUGUCACAAAAGGAAGCAUGCCUGCAUCCCUGGUAGAGAUCAGGGAUGUUACUAAACAUGCUACAAUGCACAGGACUGCCCCCUCCAAAACAAAGAAUUACCUGGUUCUAAAUGCCAGUAGUGCUAAGGUUGAAAACCUUUGGUCUAAAUGAUUAAGAAUGCGUUUCUUAAAAUGCAAAAUUUCACAUAACCGCAUAGCACCAUCACUUCUAACAAAGUGAAAAAUAACUCUUUAAAAUUGUCUAAUAACCAGUCCAUGUUUCUCCACCAUUCCACUAAAAUGUUUUUUACAGCUGGUUUUAGCAAACACUUUCCAUUUUAUUAGCACUGUUAAUAGAAUCUCAUUCUAAAUGACUACAGAAGAGUCUGUUCAAUGGAUUCCCUGAAAUUUAUUCAAAGGAUCUAUUUUUAGAUACUAGUUUUGCUUCCAGGUUUUAGACAAAUUAUAUUUUUGUAAAUAAUGACAGUUUACUUCUUUUCUUACUUUGUGCCUUUUCUUUCUUUUAUUUGCCUUAUGUUCUGGCUAAAAACUUCAGUGAAUACUGAACACAGCGUAUGAGAGUGGGCAUCCUUUUGUUGUUCCAGAUUUUAGGAGCAAAAGAUUUAAUAUUUUAUUAAUUAUGAUAUUAACUGUAGGUUUUUAAAGAUGAACCUUAUCAUAUUGGAGAUGUUCCCAUCUAUUCCUAGUUUCACUGAGCGUUUUUAUCAUAAAGAACUAAUGAUUUCUGUCAAAUUUUUUUUCUGUGUAUUUUGAAAUGAUCAAAUGGUUUUCCCUGUUACUCUGUUAUAGUAUGAUGAAUUAUAUUGAUUGAAUUUCAUUAAACCAACCUUGCUUUCUUGGAAUAAA